AUUGAACGCUGGCGGCAGGCCUAACACAUGCAAGUCGAGCGGCAGCGGGAAAGUAGCUUGCUACUUUUGCCGGCGAGCGGCGGACGGGUGAGUAAUGCCUGGGAAAUUGCCCAGUCGAGGGGGAUAACAGUUGGAAACGACUGCUAAUACCGCAUACGCCCUACGGGGGAAAGCAGGGGACCUUCGGGCCUUGCGCGAUUGGAUAUGCCCAGGUGGGAUUAGCUAGUUGGUGAGGUAAUGGCUCACCAAGGCGACGAUCCCUAGCUGGUCUGAGAGGAUGAUCAGCCACACUGGAACUGAGACACGGUCCAGACUCCUACGGGAGGCAGCAGUGGGGAAUAUUGCACAAUGGGGGAAACCCUGAUGCAGCCAUGCCGCGUGUGUGAAGAAGGCCUUCGGGUUGUAAAGCACUUUCAGCGAGGAGGAAAGGUCAGUAGCUAAUAUCUGCUGGCUGUGACGUUACUCGCAGAAGAAGCACCGGCUAACUCCGUG
rnacentral:rRNA from 3 species